CACGUAGGGCGCGAGCGUUGUCCGGAAUUAUUGGGCGUAAAGAGCUCGUAGGCGGCCUGUUGCGUCCGCUGUGAAAGCCCGGGGCUUAACCCCGGGUCGGCAGUGGAUACGGGCAGGCUAGAGGUAGGUAGGGGAGAAUGGAAUUCCCGGUGUAGCGGUGAAAUGCGCAGAUAUCGGGAGGAACACCGGUGGCGAAGGCGGCUCACUGGACCACAACUGACGCUGAGGCGCGAAAGCUAGGGGAGCAAACAGG
rnacentral:rRNA from 1 species